rnacentral:lncRNA from 1 species
UUCUGCUGACAGCUGCAGAGAUGACAGGACAACCUGCCUGCAGAGAGGAGCUUCCCACUCCAGGGUUUCCUCUCUGCUAGGAGCUGAACACUCAUCAGGACACCCUGGCUGCAGAAGGGAACGGAGCUUCCCAAAGCAGAUCUCUGAGCUUCCCACUGCGGGUCUCCUCUGAGCUGCUCUAUCGCCGAUAAAGCUCUUCUUCAUCUUGCAUAACCUCCACUUGUCUACAUACCUCAUUCUUCCUGGUUGCAGGACAAUAAUUCAGGACCCCUCAAAUGGCAGGGUUAAAAAAGCUGUGAAACCAACAUGCCUGAAACAUGUUCCUUUCUUGCCAUUUUGUGGGUGAAGAGAAGGAGAGAAGAGUUGCUGCCUUUUGGAAAGCCCAGACUGGGGAGCUCCCAGAGCCAGGGCUGUGGCUUCCUCUUUGGGGUCUUUGGUUCUUGGUGUCUCCAAGCUUCCAGGCACCACCACAUUCCCCAGUGCCAGCCAGGGAAGCUGCUUACACUGAGCCUGAUCCAGCUGCAGUCUCGUAGAAAGCUGGCACCCACGCCAGCACCUGGAUCUGCCUGCUCCAUGGCAGCAGCCAGCAUGUCUAACUGCACAGUGGCCGGACCCCAUGCUCGCUCACACACCCCUUGCCACUCCACACCUGACUCACAGUCUCCCUUGGAGGCUUGGGAUCCAGGCCGGUAGUGUGAUCCAGGCACAGCCUGCCAGACCAAGUGGGUGGAACAAGCCCAGGACUCCCAAGCAAAACUCAGGCAAAGCUGCCACCAGCUACAGGUUUCCAGCCAGAAAAUGACACCCCAAAGAUUCCAUAACAAUAACAAUUUCAAAUGCCCUGUGAACACCAAGCUGGUUCACAGUUCCUUGUCUCUGGAACACUUUAACCUCUUAUUUGGCUAGCUAAUGUGCACUCAUCCUUCAAGACUUAGUUCAUGCGCCAUCUUCUCCAGGAAGCCAUGCUUGUCAUCUCCUCUAGGUCUCCAUCCCACCUCUGCCUGCUGGAAGUUGAGAUCAGGAGUCUGCCUUUCCUAGUUCCCUGAACCUACCACGUUACACCAAACCAGCAUGAUUUAUUGACUAGCCCUUCCUUUCCCCACUCAUCUGUCAUGUCAUUUCUGUAAUAUAUUAAAGUUCUGUAUGCAGGUGAGGGCAUCUGUUACAAAUACUACUGCUGAUUUGUGAGUCUCUUCAAAACCACAAACUGAAACAAAAAGAGAAGCAAAGAAACAAAACAAAACACAUGAUACUGAGCAAUAUUUUAUUGUGUGAGAAUCUAUGGCAUUCAGUCUGAAAAAAAGGAUUUAACAAGGUGAUUCAUUUUUUUUUUUUAUUCUAAAAGUUUCCAUUCCUCAAAUCCUCUCUACCUUCCAAAGCAGUAUCUAUCUCCAGGAUCUGUGAUGUCACAAUCCACACCUCACCAUAUCUGGGCUUUAUCACCCUGUGUUUAGAUGCUGCUCAAACAAGCACAAGGGUUUGUUUCUCUGGGACCUUAAUGGAGUUAGUCACAAAGGUGGCUACACAGGACUUGGUCAUGCUAUGCUGGUGCUAAGCACGUAUCUUUAACAUAUUCAGUUCCAGUGGUCUAAGACAACUUUCCAAAUCUGACUCACUGCAACAAAACUUAUAAAAGAUUGAGUGGUGGUUGGAUCAUCAUGGCGGAUGGGAAGCAGGACUAGACUGCAGCUCCGGAGAGAGCAGCUCGCAGAAGCUCGCAUUGUGAAUUUUAGCUCGAGAUCGACUGCAAGAACAAACCAGCAAUUC